AUUGAACGCUGGCGGCAUGCCUUACACAUGCAAGUCGAACGGUAACAGGUCUUCGGAUGCUGACGAGUGGCGAACGGGUGAGUAAUACAUCGGAACGUGCCUAGUAGUGGGGGAUAACUACUCGAAAGAGUGGCUAAUACCGCAUGAGAUCUACGGAUGAGAGCAGGGGAUCGCAAGACCUUGUGCUACUAGAGCGGCCGAUGGCAGAUUAAGUAGUUGGUGGGAUAAAAGCUUACCAAGCCGACGAUCUGUAGCUGGUCUGAGAGGACGAUCAGCCACACUGGGACUGAGACACGGCCCAGACUCCUACGGGAGGCAGCAGUGGGGAAUUUUGGACAAUGGGCGCAAGCCUGAUCCAGCAAUGCCGCGUGCAGGAUGAAGGCCUUCGGGUUGUAAACUGCUUUUGUACGGAACGAAAAGCCCUGGGUUAAUACCCUGGGGUCAUGACGGUACCGUAAGAAUAAGCACCGGCUAACUACGUGCCAGCCGCCGCAGUAAUAC
rnacentral:rRNA from 1 species